GCCGGCGUAGCUCAGGGGUAGAGCAAGACUUUCGUAAAGUCGAGGUCGGGGGUUCAAUUCCCUCCGCCGGCACCA
rnacentral:tRNA from 1 species